CCUACGGGCGGCAGCAGUGAGGAAUAUUGGUCAAUGGGCGGAAGCCUGAACCAGCCAAGUCGCGUUCGGGAUGAAGGCCCUACGGGUCGUAAACCGCUUUUGCCCGGGGAGCAAAGCGAGUCACGUGUGCCUCAUUGAGAGUACCCGAAGAAAAAGCAUCGGCUAACUCCGUGCCAGCAGCCGCGGUAAUACGGAGGAUGCGCGCGUUAUCCGGAUUUAUUGGGUUGAAAGGGUGCGCAGGCGGAGGUGCAAGUCAGCGGUCAAAGUGCGGUGCUCAACCCCGUACUGCCGUUGAAACUGAAUCCAUUGAGUGCGCGAGAAGUAUGCGGAAUGCGUGGUGGAGCGGUGAAAUGCAAAGAUAUCACGCAGAACUCCGAUUGCGAAGGCAGCAUACCGGCGCGCAACUGACGCUCAUGCACGAAAGCGUGGGUAUCGAACAGGAUUAGAUACCCCUGUAGUC
rnacentral:rRNA from 1 species